UUGAGAGUUUGAUCCUGGCUCAGAACGAACGCUGGCGGCAGGCCUAACACAUGCAAGUCGAGCGCACUCUUCGGAGUGAGCGGCGGACGGGUUAGUAACGCGUGGGAAUGUACCCUUUUCUACGGAAUAGUCUCGGGAAACUGGGGUUAAUACCGUAUACGCCCUUCGGGGGAAAGAUUUAUCGGAGAAGGAUCGGCCCGCGUUAGAUUAGAUAGUUGGUGGGGUAAUGGCCUACCAAGUCUACGAUCUUUAGCUGGUUUUAGAGGAUGAUCAGCAACACUGGGAAUGA
rnacentral:rRNA from 1 species